CACGGGGGGAGCAAGCGUUGUUCGGAAUCACUGGGCGUAAAGGGCGUGUAGGCGGUCAAGUAAGUGGGAUGUGAAAUCCCUCGGCUCACCCGAGGACCUGCAUCCCAAACUGCUUGGCUUGAGUAUGGGAGAGGAUGAGGGAAUUCCUGGUGUAGCGGUGAAAUGCGUAGAUAUCAGGAGGAACACCGGUGGCGAGGGCGCUCAUCUGGCCCAAUACUGACGCUGAGGCGCGAAAGCUAGGGGAGCAAACGGG
rnacentral:rRNA from 1 species